GGAGGAAAGUAGGGGAUCGCAAGACCUUGCGCUUUUUGAGCGGCCGAUGCCUGAUUAGCUAGUUGGUAAGGUAAUGGCUUACCAAGGCAACGAUCAGUAGCUGGUCUGAGAGGACGACCAGCCACACUGGGACUGAGACACGGCCCAGACUCCUACGGGAGGCAGCAGUGGGGAAUUUUGGACAAUGGGCGAAAGCCUGAUCCAGCCAUGCCGCGUGAGUGAAGAAGGCCUUCGGGUUGUAAAGCUCUUUCGGUCGGGAAGAAAUAGUUGUGGCUAAUAUCCACAAUGAAUGACGGUACCGACAUAAGAAGCACCGGCUAACUACGUGCCAGCAGCCGCGGUAAUACGUAGGGUGCAAGCGUUAAUCGGAAUUAUUGGGCGUAAAGGGUGCGCAGGCGGUUGUAUAAGUCAGAUGUGAAACCCCUGGGCUUAACCUAGGAAUUGCGUUUGAAACUACAAAGCUAG
rnacentral:rRNA from 1 species